rnacentral:rRNA from 1 species
GAUGAACGCUAGCGGCAGGCCUAAUACAUGCAAGUCGAGGGAGAAUGUUGGAUUCGUCUGACAUGAAACCGGCGCACGGGUGCGUAACACGUAUGCAACCUACCUUUAACUGGGGUAUAGCUCAGAGAAAUCUGAAUUAAUCCCCCAUAAGACUACGACAUGGCAUCAUGAUGUAGUUAAAGCUCCGGCGGUUAAGGAUGGGCAUGCGGUACAUUAGCUAGUUGGUGAGGUAAUGGCUCACCAAGGCUACGAUGUAUAGGGGGUCUGAGAGGAUGAUCCCCCACACUGGUACUGAGACACGGACCAGACUCCUACGGGAGGCAGCAGUAGGGAAUAUUGGUCAAUGGACGCAAGUCUGAACCAGCCAUGCCGCGUGAAGGAUGAAGGCCCUAUGGGUCGUAAACUUCUUUUGUACGGAACGAAAAGGUCUCUCUUAAUACGGGGGACUCAUGACGGUACCGUAAGAAUAAGCACCGGCUAACUACGUGCCAGCAGCCGCCGUAA